rnacentral:misc_RNA from 1 species
AGCAGCCGCGGUAAUUCCAGCUCCAAUAGCGUAUAUUAAAGUUGUUGCAGUUAAAAAGCUCGUAGUUGAAUUUCGGGAUCAAUAUUUCGGUCAUGCCGUUGGUAUGCACUGUUAUCAUUGAUUUCUCACCUUCUAAAAGAACCGUAAUGCCAUUAAUUUGGUGUUACGGGGAAUUAGGACUGUUACCUUGAAAAAAUUAGAGUGUUUAAAGCAGGCUCACGCUUGAAUACAUUAGCAUGGAAUAAUGAAAUAGGACAUCCGAUUCUAUUUUGUUGGUUUCUAGGAUCGAUGUAAUGAUUAAUAGGGAUAGUUGGGGGCAUUAGUAUUCAAUUGUCAGAGGUGAAAUUCUUGGAUUUAUUGAAGACUAACUACUGCGAAAGCAUUUGCCAAGGAUGUUUUCAUUAAUCAAGAACGAAAGUUAGGGGAUCGAAGACGAUCAGAUACCGUCGUAGUCUUAACCAUAAACUAUGC